AAGCAUCCAUUGAUAGACCAUAAGCUUCUGUUUGGUUGCUUUUUGGUUUGCACAGAGAUGCAAUAGAAAUUUUCCUCGCGCUUUCUGUCUUGUCUGGUGUGACUUUUCAGUUUGAAUAGAGGAAUACACAA
rnacentral:snoRNA from 1 species